rnacentral:rRNA from 1 species
UACGUAGGGUGCGAGCGUUAAUCGGAAUCACUGGGCGUAAAGCGCACGUAGGCGGAUCUUUAAGUCAGAGGUGAAAUCCCAAGGCUCAACCUUGGAACUGCCUUUGAUACUGGGGAUCUUGAGUCCGGGAGAGGUGAGUGGAACUGCGAGUGUAGAGGUGAAAUUCGUAGAUAUUCGCAAGAACACCAGUGGCGAAGGCGACUUACUGGACACAUAUUGACGCUGAGGUGCGAAAGCGUGGGGAGCAAACAGG